rnacentral:lncRNA from 1 species
UUCAUUUCAUUGAAAAUUAAAGCACAUAAUAAUGUUCAAAAAUUAUGUAAUAUAAAAUUAAAAAACAUAAAAAGUUCAUACAUCCCUAAUCAAGUUUAAAAUUACAACACAUAAUUGUUCAAAAGUUCAUAUACAUCGCUAAUCAAGUUUAAAAUUAAAACACACAUCUCUAAUUAAUUUUGCUUCCAGCACUUGAUCCUAUUACUUGAUUAGGUGAUGGAGCACCACUUCCGUAAUCUGAUGCCUGAAACAAAUAAUUUUAAGUUAAUGAAUUUGUAUGUUUAUAAUUAUAAAAUAAAAGACACCAAUAAAUAAUUAAAAUUGUAAAAUACUUGCUGAAAUCAAUUUAAAGUAUAAGGGACUGACUUCCUCUUGCUAUCAGGGAGAUGAAUGCGUACUGAAAAUUAUACUUAAAAUUAAGUAUAAUUUUAAGUCGUACAACUUGACUUUAACGACAUAAAGGAUUAUAUAAUUUCGUCAUAUUCAAUCUUCAGCUUUGAUUAAAAAAUGUUAGUAAUGGAAACAAACUAGAUUAAAAACUUGACAACAAAUUACCAAAUCCAAUGACAAUAUAAACAAUGCCAAGCAAUCGCAUAGUUAUCUCUUUUCCUCACUUUCUAGCAAAUUUGUUAUCGUUAAGGAUUCAGCCUGCAUGCCAACUUGAAGGGAAAAUUUCAAUGCAACUUCAACUGCUUAAAAUAUAAAGACAGGACCAUGUUUUGGCAUAAGCCGCCAAAGAUUGUUAAGAGGUCACAAUUGAAAUCUCAGCAUAAUGGGAGCAAACAGUUUAAUUUGAUUGCCCUGCCAUGGUUACUAAAGGUGAGUUCAAAUCAGCAAUCUUGGCUCAAACAGAACGUUUAGGGGUGUACUAGAGCUAAAAAUAAAUAAGAGAGAAUUUUGGAAGAAAAUUACUAACAAUAGUUUGGGUGUUUAGUGUAGUGGAACUCAUCCUUACUCUACUCUCAAUUCUAGUCUAUUGUAGUUCGAAAAUAAGCUUAAACUGAUUCUUUCCCCACUUUUCACUUACACAUCUUUCCACCAAACAUCAAGGUCUGAACAAUCAAAACCUGUCCACCCCACUCCACUUUCACUCCCCACCCAUUUUCUACUUUUCUAACCAAGCAUGCCUUUAAUUUCUUUUCACUGUGUUCUAUUAAAGGACUCAAAUCUUUUCUGAAGCAUCGAGAGUACUUAGACUUUGCUAUCAAGGAAAAAAUCCAAGUUAUAACGAAAACAACAAAAAAGGAAUUAAGGACAGACAGAUUUUGGUCACCAUAUCUCCGUAUUAAUGCUGAUGUAUCCAUGCUAAUUGAAGCAAACCUUUCAUCGAACUGUCCUCCA